rnacentral:lncRNA from 1 species
UGGGAAUGAACAUUAUAAUUACGCAAAUGCCCCCGUUGUAUAAACCAUAAAUCUAAAUGAAAAGCAGUAGCAGCCACAAAAACUAAAUGAAAAGCAAUAGCAGUCACAAAAACCUAAAAAAUCAUAAAAGUAUGAAUAUGCUCGGUAAAUAAUCAGUAGAAAAAAUCAGAAGCUUGAGAAAAGCUCGGAUCCAAAAGCUGGAAAUCU